GCGAGGGUAGCCAAGACUGGUCAAAGGCGACAGACUCAAGAUCUGUUCCAGAAGUGGUUCCGGGGUUCAAAUCCUCGCCCUCGCA
rnacentral:tRNA from 1 species